rnacentral:rRNA from 1 species
UACGGAGGGUGCGAGCGUUGUCCGGAAUCACUGGGCGUAAAGGGCGCGUAGGCGGCGCGGGUAGUCGUCGGUGAAAGCUCAGGGCUCAACCCUGAGUCGGCCGGUGAUACUCCCGUGCUCGAGCACUGUAGAGGCAGGUGGAAUUCCGGGUGUAGCGGUGGAAUGCGUAGAGAUCCGGAAGAACACCGGUGGCGAAGGCGGCUCGCUGGGCAGUGGCUGACGCUGAGGCGCGACAGCGUGGGGAGCAAACAGG